AUUACCCAAUCCUGAACCAGGGAGGAGUGACGAAAUAACAACACUGGAAAUUUCUUUCUAGUGAUUGGAAUGAUAGGAAUCCACCCCCCUUU
rnacentral:rRNA from 1 species